GCCUGCAGGAUAGUUCAGUCGGUAGAGCAUGAGACACAAGGUUGUGGGUUCGAGCCCCACAUUGGGCA